rnacentral:lncRNA from 1 species
GGAGAUGAGAAUCUGACCUUUAGACUCCGCAGGUAAAAAUCACUGCAGAUUAUGCUGGGUCAGAUCUACUGAUGGAUAUUUUGCAGUCCCACAGGGAACAAGAGAAAAUAUUUUUAAUUCUUUCUUCAGUGAGCAGAUGACACACAACUGACUCGAUGAGUGGGCACAUUGCCAGGGAAGCAUUAUCCUUGCAAUAUACACCACUGCCAUAAAAUGACUAUUUUAUUAGCAAGCUUGAAAAAAAAACCCACGUAUUUCAUUUCCACCAUACAGGAAAGGUGAAAAUCAAGAGAGGACAUUGCAACCUACCUGCAACUAGCCACUAUAUUCCCUGAGUGCCUAUAACGCAAGCAGAAAUGGCAGAACUCAACAAGCAGCACAGAGGACUUCGCUCAUGUGCAUGCCCACUCCCUGCUCCCGCAGCUCCGAUAAAUUCUGUGAAGUUCCUCCCAACCCUACACAAGGGAAAACCACAGUCAAAGCAACUCCAUUAUGUAUUUUCCUCUGCUUAUGUCAAUUAAUUUGAAGUGGCAACAUAUAAGUAACCUUAUUUGUUUUAUUUAUGAAUUAGCUGUCUCAGGGCUCACCUUUGAAUAAGAACCCAGGAUGGAGCUUCAACUGCAUGGUUUCUUGAAAGUGAAUCUUCACGCACAGAGAAGUGCUACAGCGUUCCAAAGCAGAUUAGGAGUACGCACAGAAGCAAGCGGGAAAGCAGAAAGAUGGCCAGAAGAGAGGAAUAGAUAUUCAGCAAGAGCUCCACGGAAGCAGAGUGGCUAA